UACGUAGGGGGCAAGCGUUAUCCGGAUUUACUGGGUGUAAAGGGAGCGUAGACGGUAGUGCAAGUCUGGAGUGAAAGGCGGGGGCCCAACCCCCGGGCUGCUCUGGAAACUGUGCGACUAGAGUGCAGGAGAGGUAAGUGGAAUUCCUAGUGUAGCGGUGAAAUGCGUAGAUAUUAGGAGGAACACCAGUGGCGAAGGCGGCUUACUGGACUGUAACUGACGUUGAGGCUCGAAAGCGUGGGGAGCAAACAGG
rnacentral:rRNA from 1 species